AUACGGAGGGGGCUAGCGUUGUUGGGAAUUACUGGGCGUAAAGCGCACGUAGGCGGAUUAAAAAGUUAGAGGUGAAAUCCCAGGGCUUAACCCUGGAACUGCCUUUAAAACUAGUAGUCUAGAGUUCGAGAGAGGUGAGUGGAAUUCCAAGUGUAGAGGUGAAAUUCGUAGAUAUUUGGAGGAACACCAGUGGCGAAGGCGGCUCACUGGCUCGAUACUGACGCUGAGGUGCGAAAGCGUGGGGAGCAAACAGGAUUAGAAACCCCAGUAGUCC
rnacentral:rRNA from 1 species